GAGAACUGACAUCUCCGCCACCAUCAGUGUGAGCUCCGGCAGGGUCCUUGGCUCAUUGACCCCAGGAAGUAAGCUGAAACUGGAACUGAAACACUCCGACAUCGGUUUCUUCAAUGUGCAGUUGCUGGAAUCCAUCUUCAAUUACUACGCGUCCUACAUUAUAUAUCC